CGCGUGAGGAACCUGCCUCAAAGAGGGGGACAACAGUUGGAAACGACUGCUAAUACCGCAUAAGCCCACGGGUCGGCAUCGACCUGAGGGAAAAGGAGUGAUCCGCUUUGAGAUGGCCUCGCGUCCGAUUAGCUAGUUGGUGAGGUAACGGCCCACCAAGGCGACGAUCGGUAGCCGGACUGAGAGGUUGAACGGCCACAUUGGGACUGAGACACGGCCCAGACUCCUACGGGAGGCAGCAGUGGGGAAUAUUGCACAAUGGGGGAAACCCUGAUGCAGCGACGCCGCGUGGAGGAAGAAGGUCUUCGGAUUGUAAACUCCUGUUGUUGAGGAAGAUAAUGACGGUACUCAACAAGGAAGUGACGGCUAACUACGUGCCAGCAGCCGCGGUAAAACGUAGGUCACAAGCGUUGUCCGGAAUUACUGGGUGUAAAGGGAGCGCAGGCGGGAAGACAAGUUGGAAGUGAAAUCUAUGGGCUCAACCCAUAAACUGCUUUCAAAACUGUUUUUCUUGAGUAGUGCAGAGGUAGGCGGAAUUCCCGGUGUAGCGGUGGAAUGCGUAGAUAUCGGGAGGAACACCAGUGGCGAAGGCGGCCUACUGGGCGCCAACUGACGCUGAGGCUCGAAAGUGUGGGUAGCAAACAGGAUUAGAUACCCUGGUAGUCCACACCGUAAACGAUGAUUACUAGGUGUUGGAGGAUUGACCCCUUCAGUG
rnacentral:rRNA from 1 species